UACGGGGGGGGCAAGCGUUGUUCGGAAUUACUGGGCGUAAAGGGCUCGUAGGCGGCCAACUAAGUCGGACGUGAAAUCCCUCGGCUCAACCGGGGAACUGCGUCCGAUACUGGAUGGCUUGAGUUCGGGAGAGGGAUGCGGAAUUCCAGGUGUAGCGGUGAAAUGCGUAGAUAUCUGGAGGAACACCAGCGGCGAAGGCGGCAUCCUGGACUGGUCCUGACGCUCAGGAGCGAAAGCGUGGGGAGCGAUCCGG
rnacentral:rRNA from 1 species